CCUACGGGUGGCAGCAGUGAGGAAUAUUGGUCAAUGGGCGCGAGCCUGAACCAGCCAAGUAGCGUGAAGGAUGACUGCCCUACGGGUUGUAAACUUCUUUAUUAAGGAAUAAAGUUAAGCCCGUUUGCCUUUUUUUAUUUACUUUAUUAAUUAGGAUCGGCUUACUCCCUGCCAGCAGCCGCGGUAAUACGGAGGAUCCGAGCGUUAUCCGGAUUUAUUGGGUUUAAAGGGAGCGUAGAUGGGUUGUUAAGUCAGUUGUGAAAGUUUGCGGCUCAACCGUAAAAUUGCAAUUGAUACUGGCAGCCUUGAGUACAGUUGAGGUAGGCGGAAUUCGUGGUGUAGCGGUGAAAUGCUUAGAUAUCACGAAGAACUCCGAUUGCGAAGGCAGCUUACUAAACUGCCACUGACAUUGAUGCUCGAAAGUGUGGGUAUCAAACAGGAUUAGAUACCCGUGUAGUC
rnacentral:rRNA from 1 species